UACGUAGGGACCGAGCGUUGUCCGGAAUCAUUGGGCGUAAAGAGCGUGUAGGCGGCCCCUUAAGUCCUGCGUGAAAUCCUGCGGCUCAACCGCAGACGGUCGUGGGAAACUGGAGGGCUAGAGUGCGGGAGAGGAGAGUGGAAUUCCCGGUGUAGCGGUGAAAUGCGCAGAUAUCGGGAAGAACACCCGUGGCGAAGGCGGCUCUCUGGAACGCAACUGACGCUGAGACGCGAAAGCGUGGGGAGCAAACAGGGAUU
rnacentral:rRNA from 1 species